rnacentral:rRNA from 1 species
GUGGGGAAUUUUGGACAAUGGGCGCAAGCCUGAUCCAGCAAUGCCGCGUGAGUGAAGAAGGCCUUCGGGUUGUAAAGCUCUUUUGUCAGGGAAGAAACGGCCGAGGCUAAUACCUUUGGCUAAUGACGGCGCCUGAAGAAUAAGCACCGGCUAACUACGUGCCAGCAGCCGCGGUAAUACGUAGGGUCCGAGCGUUGGCCGGAAUUACUGGGCGUAAAGCGCGCGCAGGCGGCCCGCGAGGUGUCACGUGAAAGCCCCGGGCUCAACCCGGGAGGGUCGUGGCAAACCGGCGGGCUUGAGGCCGGUAGAGGUGGGUGGAACUCCUGGUGGAGUGGUGAAAUGCGUAGAGAUCAGGAAGAACACCCGUGGCGAAGGCGGCCCACUGGGCCGGUACUGACGCUGAGGCGCGAAGGCGUGGGGAGCGAAC